rnacentral:tRNA from 1 species
GUCGAAAUGGCGGAACUGGCAGACGCACUGGACUCAAAAUCCAGCGGUAGCGAUACCGUGAGGGUUCGAUUCCCUCUUUCGGCA